rnacentral:rRNA from 1 species
GUAAGGAAUAUUGGACAAUGGGGGAAACCCUGAUCCAGCCAUGCCGCGUGAGUGAAGAAGGCCUUCGGGUUGUAAAGCUCUUUCAGAUGUGAAGAUGAUGACGGUAACAUCAGAAGAAGCUCCGGCUAACUUCGUGCCAGCAGCCGCGGUAAUACGAAGGGAGCGAGCGUUGUUCGGAAUCACUGGGCGUAAAGAGUGCGUAGGCGGUUAUACAAGUCAGGAGUGAAAUCCCAGGGCUCAACCCUGGAAUUGCUUUUGAAACUGUAUAGCUAGAGUCCCGGAGGGGUUAAUGGAAUUCCGAGUGUAGAGGUGAAAUUCGCAGAUAUUCGGAGGAACACCAGUGGCGAAGGCGAUUAACUGGACGGGCACUGACGCUGAGGCACGAAAGCGUGGGGAUCAAACAGGAUUAGAUACCCUGGUAGUCC